GAUGAACGCUGGCGGCGUGCUUAACACAUGCAAGUCGAACGGAAAGGCCCUGCUUUGGUGGGGUGCUCGAGUGGCGAACGGGUGAGUAACACGUGAGUAACCUGCCCUGGACUUUGGGAUAACCUCAGGAAACUGGGGCUAAUACCGGAUAGGAGCUCCUGCUGGAUGGGGGGGGUGGGAAAGUUUCGGCGGGUGGGGAUGGAGCCGCGGCUUAUCAGCUUGUUGGGGGGGUAGUGGCUUACCAAGGCUUCGGCGGGUAGCCGGCCUGAGAGGGUGACCGGCCACAUUGGGACUGAGGUACGGCCCAGACUCCUACGGGAGGCAGAAGUGGGGAAUAUUGCACAAUGGGCGCAAGCCUGAUGCAGCGACGCCGCGUGCGGGAUGACGGCCUUCGGGUUGUAAACCGCUUUCGCCUGUGACGAAGCGUGAGUGACGGUAACGGGUGAAGAAGCACCGGCUAACUACGUG
rnacentral:rRNA from 1 species